ensembl:lncRNA
CGAGAACUGUUUUGUGAACUGACGGAGACAGAAUUCUGUUUGGAGUUGGUUAAGAGAUAAGUGGAAAUCAUUAAAAUGAAGACACAAAAGAAGUUUUCAUUUUCCAGUGACUCAUUAUUCAAGCCAAGAGAAGAUGGUACAGAUGAGGAGAAAAGUUCCAUCCCCAUAAGAACCAUGCAAGUUUGCUAGACAUCAGUGUCAGAGACCAGAUCUUCCAGCCUGACCUCCUAUUGCUCCUCUAUGGGUUACUGGUCUAAAGGACACUGGGUGAGAUAGUGCGGAUUUCUCCAAACCCACCUCCACUAGCCCAAAAAUGUGUACGCAAAGGAUGGAGAUGAAGAUGAAAACUGCAAAGAGAGCCAGGUAGUUAGAGAGAAGCUUAACAGAUGUGGGAAGCAGAUAAAGGAGUGAAAGACUAACAACAAAAUGCCAGAAGGAGCUCUUCUUAUCAGAAGGGCCAUAUAUUUCUAGUUCACAUGUUGAAAACACUCUUUAUCCUAUUACAUCAAUUCAUAAAAACGGAAAUAAAGCUCCACUUUAAAAGAC